GCGGGUGUAGCAUAGUGGAUAAUGCUCCGGCCUUCCAAGCCGGCUACGUGGGUUCGAUUCCCAUCACCCGCU
rnacentral:tRNA from 1 species